UGGACAGUUGAAGAGUGACAACCAACUUCCCAGCUUCCGGCUCGAUUUAGCCCUAAUUUCCAGCAGCCUGAUAUACCUGCGCUAGAUGGCGCAGUCUCAGCUCCGUUGAGUUCAUUGGGACUUUGGGUGACAGCUCCUACUGUCACAAAUAGGAGUGUCAUAAAUCAAUCCUCCCUCGGCUUCGGCUCCCUUUCCUCCUCGUGAAAUGUUGGGGUGAUAGUGGCGUGUUAGCGCUGCAGUUUUCUAAAGGUUUAAAAAGUCAAAAGACCGUGUGUCCCCCCCCAACAGAAUGAGCAUCGAUCCCGUCUUCAGCACGUGAAAUGGCAACUCUAAGCUAACUCUCUGUGGAGAACGCCGAGCAGCCCCGCCCACUCCCUCAGGUUCUAAAGGGCAACGGAGCACUCCGGAAGCGGCCGGAGCAAGUUUGUGUGAUUGGCAAGCGCGCUAGGACCCGGGCUCUAAACACGGCUGUUCAAACUGGCGGUUCCUUUCGUCAGAGGAAUGGUUCGUGUCUUUGUCUACGGGACCCUUAAGAAAGGCCAGCCCAACUACCCAUACAUGAUAAAUGGUGCUAAUGGGACAGCCAGAUUCCAGGGCAGGGGGCUCACAGUGGAGAAAUACCCCCUAGUGAUUGCCGGGAAAUACAAUGUUCCUUAUUUGCUGAAUAUCCCAGGAACGGGACACCGUGUCACUGGAGAGAUUUAUGCUGUCAAUGACCAGAUGUUGCAAUUCCUUGAUGAGUUUGAAAGUUGUCCAGACAUGUAUCAGCGAACCCCAGUGAGAAUUGAAGUUGUUGAGCAGGAAGAUGAAAGUAGUCCACCUGAAGGGACGCCAGCUGUUAACAGCAUCCUGGAAUGCUAUGUGUAUAGCACCACCACUUACCAGCCAGAAUGGAUACAUCUCCCUUACUAUGACAACUAUGAUUCCUUUGGGAAACACGGGCUUCCAUAUGUACUAAGGGAAAGCAGAGAUUGAAACUGGAAGCUCCAUAAAUGACCAAAGACUACUGAACAGAAUCAACAACCUCUUUGCAUUUAUAGCUCAGAAUUUUGAAAUAUGCCAGCAGGGAAGAAGGCAGAUUCUCAAGAAAACUGCAAGAAAGCAGUUUUUAAGAGGUACAAUGAAGAGAGCUCCAAUCUGAGGGCAGGGCCUAAGAAGAGAUCUUUGUGGGUCCAAUCCACUCCCUUAAGACUUUUGUGAAUCAACUGAUAAAGACUUAAUGAUUGUGACAGGAUGUCUUCAAUGUUAGGCUUACAAAACAGUCACAAGCCCUGCAAGUCUUUCUGAUAAACCCAAUCGGCACUGAUGUAUUUCUCCACUCUGUCUAAUUGGUGUAAAGUUUGCAGAUCUGAGUCUCAUAUCUUUCACCCAGCUUGCUGCGUCCUCUCCUUUGACACCGGGUCAAGGUUCACAUUCGCAUCCGAUUAUCAAAGUGGCAGUCAUUAAGCAAGCAGCCUGCCUUGCACCAAAAUGAGUUUGCUUGAAGGAAAAGAAAGCUCGGCCCAUUUACUCAGCAGAUUUUAGCAUUUUAAGGAGGCCCAAAUGUCACACAGUAUUGCUACGUUCUGAAGAGUUUCAGACAUCUCCAGCUGAUGAUUAAUUGUGAGUUAUGGGAAAUAAAAUCCAGUAAAGCCAGCUGCUUGCCAUGGUCGGCAAAAUUACUAUAAUGGAUAUAGGCUGCCAAUUUUCCAGUUUUACUGGCAAGUCUUCCAAGUGUAAUUAAGGGAAGUUAUAAAUGAUAUGGAAAUCUAUCAAGUCCCAUUUAUUUUCAGAGGACUUUUCCCCCAGGGACUUUUAUCUUCAAGCUUAUAGUUUGCUUUGUUGUGCUAAUGAUUUCAACCACUUCUUAUUUCUGUUAAAGCCCUCAAUAUCCCACCAUAAGAAGUUAGAACCACUUCUUUCACAAAGAUUUAAAGAAACAGAAACCUCUUAAGGUCAUUUGCUUCCCCCCCCCACCUCCUUUCUUUUUAAGUUGGGACCUUGUUUGCUUUGUGGAAACUCCAUUUCCAAAUGCUGCAUCUUUCCUGCAACAACCUUGAAGAAAUGGCCAAGAUUUUGAGAGAAGGAGAUUGAUUCACCCACUCCUUAGAAAAGAAAUAAAAUGCCGGCCUUGUGAAAAGGGGCCUUUGAUGCUAGACAUUUAGCAGAGGGUGGUGUUGCUCACUAAUGUCGUUUGAUUUGGAAUAAAA